rnacentral:lncRNA from 1 species
CACAUUCCUAUGUGCCAGACAUAUCUGCCUAUCGUCACCACCUAUGGUGGGCUUGGGUGCCUCUGGACCUGCUGCUCACUCUGCCUGGAAUAUAUUUCUCUCAGCUAAACUCCUGCCCAUCUUUUCAAGCUGGAAUCAAAUCCCCCUGUCUAGAGUAUUUCCCGGAUCCCCAUGGAGAGGGUUAGGCAAAGACCAUGAAUGUUGCCGGCCACUUUACGGGAGAGAGGGUUUAUCUCAUUGCACUGUAAUCAACAGUAGCCUUACUCUCUAAUGCCCCUGACACGAGAUAGGCACUCAGUAAAUGGUCCUAGGAGUGAAUGAAUGUGUGAAAGAAUGAAUGAGCUGGUGGCAGGGUAAGAAAAGGAAACAGAUGUGUCCAUUAAGGGAAAACCUGCCUUGUGAUUGGUGCCUCUCAAGACCUCAUUCAGGAUGUCCUCUCUGGAAGCUGGCUUUGGGAUGCUUCACAGAGAGGGAGAAAAGUUUCCAGGGUCCGGGGUUCCAGCAUUCUUUGUGGGGGUAUGAGGAAGUCCUUGAGGAAGGGGCAAUAAUAGAGAUAAUUUAUUGGGUUGAGGUUGGAUGAGAGGGAGACUGGGGGCGGCGGCA